rnacentral:rRNA from 1 species
UGGUCUUGACAUCCCGAGAAUAACUAAGAAAUUAGUAGGUGCCUCUUUACGGAGGAACUCGGUGACAGGUGCUGCAUGGCUGUCGUCAGCUCGUGUCGUGAGAUGUUGGGUUAAGUCCCGCAACGAGCGCAACCCACGUCUUUAGUUGCCAUCAUUAAGUUGGGCACUCUAGAGAGACUGCCGGUGUCAAACCGGAGGAAGGUGUGGAUGACGUCAAGUCCUCAUGGCCUUUAUGACCAGGGCUACACACGUACUACAAUGGCAUGUACAAAGGGCAGCUAACUCGCGAGAGUACGCGAAUCCCAUAAAGCAUGUCUCAGUCCGGAUAGGAGUCUGCAACUCGACUCCUUGAAGCUGGAAUCGCUAGUAAUCGUGGAUCAGCAUGCCACGGUGAAUACGUUCCCGGGCCU